rnacentral:rRNA from 1 species
AGUGAACGCUGGCGGUAGGCCUAACACAUGCAAGUCGAACGGCAGCACAGUAAGAGCUUGCUCUUACGGGUGGCGAGUGGCGGACGGGUGAGGAAUACAUCGGAAUCUACUUUUUCGUGGGGGAUAACGUAGGGAAACUUACGCUAAUACCGCAUACGACCUACGGGUGAAAGCAGGGGAUCUUCGGACCUUGCGCGAUUGAAUGAGCCGAUGUCGGAUUAGCUAGUUGGCGGGGUAAAGGCCCACCAAGGCGACGAUCCGUAGCUGGUCUGAGAGGAUGAUCAGCAACACUGGAACUGAGACACGGUCCAGACUCCUACGGGAGGCAGCAGUGGGGAAUAUUGGACAAUGGGCGCAAGCCUGAUCCAGCCAUACCGCGUGGGUGAAGAAGGCCUUCGGGUUGUAAAGCCCUUUUGUUGGGAAAGAAAAGCAGCAGGUUAAUACCCCGCUGUUCUGACGGUACCCAAAGAGUAAGCACCGGCUAACUUCGUG